UCACCGGGCGAAUAUCGGCACA
rnacentral:miRNA from 1 species